AGGAUGAACGCUGGCGGUCUGCUUAACACAUGCAAGUCGAACGGAGUACCUCGGUACUUAGUGGCGGACGGGUGAGUAACGCGUGAGAAUCUACCUUCAGGACGGAGACAACAGUUGGAAACGACUGCUAACCCCCGAUGUACUGAAAAGGCAAAUAUUUAUAGCCUGAAGAAGAGCUCGCGUCCGAUUAGCUAGUUGGAGAGGUAAAAGCUCACCAAGGCGACGAUCGGUAGCUGGUCUGAGAGGACGAUCAGCCACACUGGGACUGAGACACGGCCCAGACUCCUACGGGAGGCAGCAGUGGGGAAUUUUCCGCAAUGGGCGAAAGCCUGACGGAGCAAGACCGCGUGGGGGAAGAAGGCUCUUGGGUUGUAAACCCCCUUUUCUCUGGGAAGAACACAAUGACGGUACCAGAGGAAUCAGCAUCGGCUAACUCCGUGCCAGCAGCCGC
rnacentral:rRNA from 1 species